rnacentral:rRNA from 1 species
UGGGGAAUUUUUCGCAAUGGGGGAAACCCUGACGAAGCAACGCCGCGUGGGGGAUGAAGGUCUUCGGAUCGUAAACCCCUGUCGAUCGGGACGAAAGCACCCAACCUAACACGUCGGAGUGUUGACUGUACCGGUGGAGGAAGCCACGGCUAACUCUGUGCCAGCAGCCGCGGUAAUACAGAGGUGGCAAGCGUUGUUCGGAAUUACUGGGCGUAAAGGGCGCGUAGGCGGUCUUGUAAGUCCCGUGUGAAAGCCCCCGGCUCAACCGGGGAAUGGCAUCUGAUACUGGCGGGCUCGAGGUCGAUAGGGGUGAGCGGAACUCCAGGUGGAGCGGUGAAAUGCGUAGAUAU